GAUGAACGCUGGCGGCGUGCCUAAUACAUGCAAGUCGAACGGAGACUUUUUAGCAAUAAGAAGUCUUAGUGGCGAACGGGUGAGUAACGCGUUGGUGACCUGCCCCAAAGUGUGGGAUAACAGUCCGAAAGGAUUGCUAAUACCGCAUGUGGUCUUCGGGAUUAGAUGCCUGAUGACUAAAGGAGUAAUCCGCUUUGGGAGGGGCCUGCGUCCCAUCAGCUAGUUGGUAGGGUAAAGGCCUACCAAGGCUAUGACGGGUAGGGGACCUGAGAGGGUGGCCCCCCACAAUGGAACUGAAACACGGUCCAUACACCUACGGGUGGCAGCAGUAGGGAAUAUUGCAUAAUGGGCGAAAGCCUGAUGCAGCAACGCCGCGUGCGCGAUGAAGGCCUUCGGGUCGUAAAGCGCUUUUCAGAGGGAUGAGGAAGGACAGUACCUCUGGAAUAAGUCUCGGCUAACUACGUGCCAGCAGCCGCGGUAAAACGUAGGAGGCAAGCGUUAUCCGGAUUUACUGGGCGUAAAGCGCGUGUAGGCGGCUCGGAAAGUUGGAUGUGAAAGCUCCUGGCUCAACUGGGAGAGGUCGUUCAAAACUUCCGGGCUCGAGGAUGGUAGAGGGAGGUGGAAUUCCGGGUGUAGUGGUGAAAUGCGUAGAUAUCCGGAGGAACACCAGUGGCGAAAGCGGCCUCCUGGACCAUUUCUGACGCUCAGACGCGAAAGCUAGGGUAGCAAACGGGAUUAGAGACCCCGGUAGUCCUAGCUGUAAACUAUGUAGACUUGGCGUCGGUGGGUUUAAAUCCAUCGGUGCCGUAGCUAACGCGAUAAGUCUACCGCCUGGGGACUACGGCCGCAAGGUUAA
rnacentral:rRNA from 1 species